UACAGAGGUCUCAAGCGUUGUUCGGAUUCAUUGGGCGUAAAGGGUGCGUAGGCGGCGUGGUAAGUCGGGUGUGAAAUCUCGGAGCUUAACUCCGAAGCUGCAUUCGAUACUGCCGUGCUUGAGGACUGGAGAGGAGACUGGAAUUUACGGUGUAGCGGUGAAAUGCGUAGAUAUCGUAAGGAAGACCAGUGGCGAAGGCGGGUCUCUGGACAGUUCCUGACGCUGAGGCACGAAGGCCAGGGGAGCAAACGGG
rnacentral:rRNA from 1 species